UGGCGGACGGGUGAGUGACGCGUGGGUAACCUGCCUUACACAGGGGGAUAACACUUAGAAAUAGGUGCUAAUACCGCAUAAGCGCACAGUCCCGCAUGGGACAGAGUGAAAAACAUUAGUGGUGUAAGAUGGACCCGCGUCUGAUUAGCUUGUUGGCGGGGUAACGGCCCACCAAGGCGACGAUCAGUAGCCGGCCUGAGAGGGUGGACGGCCACAUUGGGACUGAGACACGGCCCAGACUCCUACGGAAGGCAGCAG
rnacentral:rRNA from 1 species